AGAGGAAGCCGGUGCGAAUCCGGCGCGGUCCCGCCACUGUCACCGGGGAGCGCUCCCCCACACCGGAUGUCACGGCCCGCAGGGGCUGGAAGGCCGGGGGCGGCGCCGAUCCGGAAGCCAGGAGACUC
rnacentral:ncRNA from 1 species